rfam:Picea glauca, whole genome shotgun sequence.
GGGAAAUGAUGAAUGCAAGUUGGUCCGUGUUUAUGAAAAAACAUGAUCUCUCACACUUGAAAGGUAUCUGAUCCC